CAUUUUGUAUUUGUAUUUAUUAAGGAUCCUCAUUAGCUGCCUUCAAGGCAGCAGCUACUCUUCCUGGGGUCCAAACAAGAUUAAGGCGAUUACAUCAAAAAACAAUAAAACAGUACAUCACACAACACAUUAUUACACACUACUCUACCACUACACAUGUUCCUAAUGUUUUGUACACAAAAUGUACGUCAACGUGUGUCAAAUAUAUAAGUAAGUUGAAAACAUUGUAUGUUAAAAACUUCCACAGCCUUUUUUUUUUUUGGGGGGGGGGGGGUAAGAUGUCCAAAUAAAAAUGUAUAGUUGAAUGAACAUAUGAGACCAUUUGAGCAAGCACAUCAUUUUAAGUUGUGACAAGUGGGGGCUCAUCCAUAAGUUGUGACAUUUACAACUGCGACCUGGCCAAGAUAAAGCAAAGCAGUGCGACACAAACAACAACACAGAGUUACACAUGGAAUAAACAAACAUACAGUCAAUAAUACAAUACAUAAAGUCUAUAUACAGUGUGUACAAAUGAGGUAGGAUAAGGGAGGUAAGGCAAUGAAAAGGUUCAUGAAAAGUUGAGUCAAUGACAGCGGUCAAACCAAGAUGAACAAACCAAUGACAGCGGUCAAACCAAGAUGAACCAACCAAUGACAGGGGUCAAACCAAGAUGAACCAACCAAUGACAGCGGUCAAACCAAGAUGAACCAACCAAUGACAGGGGUCAAACCAAGAUGAACCAACCAAUGACAGGGGUCAAACCAAGAUGAACCAACCAAUGACAGGGGUCAAACCAAGAUGAACCAACCAAUGACAGGGGUCCAGAUAGCCCAGAAUAAGUUGAUCAGGGUAGUAUUGAAGGUGAGUCCAUGUACACACAUAGGCAGGAGCUGCUUUCAGGAACUAAACUGAUUGCCUGUUGAGGCUAGGGUGUCCCAGAUUAGACUAGGUUUGGUUUACAGAAGUAUUUAUGGUCCUGCGCCCAGAUAUCUAAGUGAUUACUUUCCUCAUGUUAGGGAUGCACACAAUCACAGCACUAGAUCAGGUGUUGCUGAUGUGUGCUUAUACAGGUUCAGGAGUAAUGCUGGGAAAGGUACUUUCUUGUAUACUGGAGCCUCAGAAUGGAAUGAGUUGCCUCUGUCUUUAAAAACAACGUCCUCUAUGGACAGCUUUAAAAAUAAAGUAAAAAUAUGUUUGAUGUCCUCUGUGCCCAUAUGAAUAACCCCUAUGAUGUAACUGGAAUGAUGAGAUAGAUGUUCUUCUUCUAUGUUUUUGUUUUAUUAUUUCACUGCCAUACUGUGUUGGAUCUUGUCUAGCCAUCUUGUCUCAAGAGGACCACAAUGGAAAUAAGUCCCAGACUUUAUUGUGUGUUAUCCUCGAUGAUUUUAUUAAUGUGCAUGUAUGGCUUUUAAGUUUUAUGUGUGCCUGUUUUUUUUAAAUGGUCGAAUUAAUAAACUAAACUAAACUAAUACUGGUGUCAUUUUUUACACCAGUAUGUUUAAAUAGAGCUCGUUGCCCCUGACCACCUUUUACAGGUAUCUGAUGUUUCUCCAUAUAGGGUUCUCUAUGGGUAGAUAAAGUGUAUUAUGUGUGUGAGCUAGGACAGCACAGAGGAGGCAGUACUUUUGCAUUUAUAGGCCUACAUUUACUAAUUCAGUAGUAAACAUUAUCCAGAGUGACAUAAAGUAGCCUACGCUGUUCUCAUACUGAAUUACUCCACUGUUUGAUCAGAAUCUUUAUUUGAUUAUUUCAAUAAUUAUAUUUACAGAAUUUUUUUAGCAUUGGUACAAUAAACAGUUUGAUAAGGACAGUAUUACAUUAGAAUUGUAUACAUAAUUGUCACGUCCUGACCAGUAAAAGGGGUUAUUUGUUAUUGUAGUUUGGUCAGGAUGUGGCAGGGGGUGUUUGUUUUAUGUGUUUCGGGGUUUUGAAGGUCCUAUUUAGCAGGGGUGUUUUUUCAUGGGUUUUUGUGGGUAGUUGUUUCGUGUAUAGCUGUGUGCCUUACAGGACUGUUUGUCGUCAUUAUUUUUGUAUACGUGUGUUUUGUUUUGUUUUUCCUUCUUUCUGACAAUAAAAAAGAAGAUGAGUAUACAGACUCCCGCUGCAUUUUGGUCCACUUUAUACGACGGCCGUGACAAUAAUGCAUAGGACAUGUAUCAAAGAUGGGUUUUAUAGGGCAGCACAUGUGUAAUAUACUGUAUAUAUUCAGUUAGUAGAUCAUCUACUGUAAAUACAUAUUUACAAAUCAAAAACUAAGAGAAUGUAAAACGUAAACUGACUUCAGAUAAAUGGUCCACAAUAUAGCAUCACAGUGUUGGGUGGGUUAAAGUAGAAGAAUCUGUGUCACAUCUCUGUUGUCUUCUGAGGCUAGUCACAUUUACUCCUAAACUAGAGAAGUUAAUGCAUGAUGUUUCUCUUCAUCAUGAGCUAGUUGCUCAUAUAUGUCUCAAAGUCCCCUGUGUUACUGCUGUGUAUAUAUUCCAUACUUGUGGUGCCAAGUCCAGAGCUGUUAUAACGUUUCUGCUGUCCUUUCAGCCACUCGGUGGCUCUGUGACGGGAUCUGUGGAGCUCUUCAGCAUCAGUAUCUGAUAUAUUAUCUGUGUUCAUGUCAGAGUGUUGCAUCUGUAAUACUACAGUGCAGUUUGCACUUUGAAAAUGUAUUAAUUGAAAGUAAAAUAAAACAGAUGAAUGUAAUAUUUCAAUAAAUGUUUUGGUAAAUCUUCCAUGUUUUGUAUAGGCAUUGCAUUGGAAAACUAUUGUUAAGGUUUCAUGGGGAUUUGGUGAGACUAUACAGACAGGAGACAGCAAGCCUGAUGCAUCCUGUGGUUGUUAUGUUUGUGACUAAAUGCUCACCAUGACUCUGUAGAUAGGCUAUCUCAUGCCUGCUCCACUGCCUCUCCAGCAAUUCUCUGAAUAUGCUGUUCAGCUCUGCAUGUCAACUGGUUUAUGUCUGUACUUUGACCUGUUCCUGUUGAAACCAGGACGAUUAUGAAAGAAGAACACUGUCAGGUACACAACUUUAUGAAAAUAAGACAAUGCUUGCUUACUGCUGCUGGCAGCCUCAACCUCCUUCUGCUCUGCCAUGGUCUCUGCUCUUCUGCCAAACACUCCCUCUCCCAGUUAUGAGCUCUCCAAGGGUGGCUUGUCUCUGACUGCACAGAAAUGACAAUAAUGAUGAUGAACCUCAAUCAAAGAAAAAGCGCUAAGGGAAAGAGAGAGAAAAGAAGAGAGAGUACUCCCAGUUAAUAGCUGCACUCAUACUUCUAUUUGAUGCCAUCGCUAUUUCCAGACUAUCACAGUUUCUCCGAUCCCAGUCUUUAUUGAGAAUUUGUCCGAUCUUGCCAGUUGCUUCUUCCUCUUCAUUGACCUCUGGCUGUGGAUCAGACUUUGUCUCCACUAGACAAUGGGUAUCAGAAAAAAGUUUCCUGACACCAUCUCCUCCAUUUCAUCCAGCAGCUCUGUGACCUAAGUUUCAGUGUCUUCACCCUUACUGUCAAAGACAUGAUACCUGUUCCCACAUUUCUCGAUGAGCCACCGGAGGGCCUCCCCUUCACUCUCAAUGUGCUGCUCAAUGGUUGUUGUGUCUCUCAGCCACGCCCCCCUGGUAAACACCACUAUAGUGUGUCUUCAGAUGUUCUCUCCCAGCAGCUUCAUGUUGUCCUGUGUCACCUUCCUCUGUUCCUCAGUAAAAUAUGUAUCCACAGGAAUCAUCAGGAGGACAGCAUUGGGGGCAGGAGAGCACAAAGAAACACCUGCCAGGAUAUCUGACCUCACUGAGGGAAGAGUGAACUCAGCCAGAAAGAGCUUCCACCAUCCUGGUGUGUCUACAACCACACCACAACGUCUUGUAGACUUCAGUGUUCUUUCUCCCGCCUCAAACUUAUCAGUGUUCAGGAUAAUGUUUCCAGCAGCACUUUUCCAGACAAAGACGCACCCCAGCAUCAGGAUUCUCAGUUUGUUCAGAAUAUGGGUAUCUUCUGUAUAAGAGGAAUUCAUAGAUGAUCAAUUACUAUAGGUGAGAAUCAUUGGUUGCUGGCAUGAUGCCAAACAAAGUUACCAAAGCAAGACUCAGUUUAACCAAAACAAAUGUAUCUAAAUGAAUAUGUAAAUAAGUCUGUAAAUACAUUGGUUUCUAUUACAAUAAGUCACACAGACACGCACCAUACACAAGUUCCUUAACAAGUUCUGGUGUGUCACACAACUGAUAUUCCCUCCACCAGCCAGGAGCUUUGAUCAGAGUUACUUUCCUUCCUCCCAAUCCUCCAUCUCUCUUUUCACACUGGGCAGUGAUUCCCUCAGAAUGAAAGGCCUCUCUUCCCAUGAUGGUGUUUCCAACUGAGUGUGUCCCAGACCUGUGCGGUCCCAUAAUCACUGCCCUCAGUUCUG
rnacentral:lncRNA from 1 species